rnacentral:rRNA from 1 species
GGUGAACGCUAGCGGGAGGCCUAACACAUGCAAGCCGAGCGGUAGAGUUCCUUCGGGGACUUGAGAGCGGCGUACGGGUGAGGAACACGUGUGCAACCUGCCUUUAUCUGGGAGAUAGCCCUCCGAAAGGGGGAUUAAUAUUCCAUAAUAUAUCAGUUGGCAUCAAUUGAUAUUGAAAGCUCCGGCGGAUAGAGAUGGGCACGCGCAAGAUUAGGUAGUUGGUGAGGUAACGGCCCACCAAGUCUACGAUCUUUAGGGGGCCUGAGAGGGUGAUCCCCCACACUGGUACUGAGACACGGACCAGACUCCUACGGGAGGCAGCAGUGAGGAAUAUUGGACAAUGGGUGCAAGCCUGAUCCAGCCAUCCCGCGUGAAGGAUUAAGGUCCUAUGGAUUGUAAACUUCUUUUAUACAGGGAUAAACCUACUUACGUGUAAGUAGCUGAAGGUACUGUAUGAAUAAGCACCGGCUAACUCCGUGCCAGCCGCCGCAGUAAUAC